CAGAGGGUGCGAGCGUUGUUCGGAAUCACUGGGCGUAAAGCGCGCGCAGGCGGGCGUGUAAGUCAGAAGUGAAAUUCCGGGGCUCAACCCCGGAGCUGCUUCUGAUACUGCAGGUCUGGAGACCGGUAGAGGCUGGUGGAAUUCCCGGUGUAGCGGUGGAAUGCGUAGAAAUCGGGAAGAACACCCGUGGCGAAGGCGGCCAGCUGGGCCGGUUCUGACGCUGAGGCGCGAAAGCGUGGGGAGCAAACAGGAUUAGAUACCCUGGUAGUCCACGCUGUAAACGAUGGGCACUAGGUGCCGGGGGGAGCGACCCCUUCGGUGCCGCAGCUAACGCGUUAAGUGCCCCGCCUGGGGAGUACGGCCGCAAGGCUG
rnacentral:rRNA from 1 species